rnacentral:rRNA from 1 species
UACAGAGGUCUCAAGCGUUGUUCGGAUUCAUUGGGCGUAAAGGGUGCGUAGGCGGCGCGGUAAGUCGGGUGUGAAAUCUCGGAGCUUAACUCCGAAACUGCAUUCGAUACUGCCGUGCUUGAGGACUGGAGAGGAGACUGGAAUUUACGGUGUAGCAGUGAAAUGCGUAGAGAUCAUGAGGAAGACCAGUGGCGAAGGCGGGUCUCUGGACAGUUCCUGACACUGA